rnacentral:rRNA from 1 species
UACGUAGGGUGCAAGCGUUAAUCGGAAUUACUGGGCGUAAAGAGUUGCGUAGGCGGCAUUGUAAGCAGGUAGUGAAAUCGUGUGGCUCAACCAUACUCACAUUACCUGAACUGCAAAGCUAGAGGACAAGAGAGGUCACUGGAAUUCCUAGUGUAGGAGUGAAAUCCGUAGAUAUUAGGAGGAACACCGAUGGCGUAGGCAGGUGACUGGCUUGUUCCUGACGCUCAGGCACGAAAGCGUGGGUAGCAAACGGG